UUAUUAGUUAUAUUGUAACGGGGACUCCCAAUAUGAGGCAGUUUAGAACUCUUAUUCCUUGUAGGGCUAUAGGCCCAAAAUACGUAUAAAUAGACCCCCAUAC